CUGAUCUCUUCUCCUCAACAUUAUAAUUUAAUUGGAAAAACUAGUAGGAAAUGCUCGGUCAAAUUCACUGAUAUUUUUUAUCAUCUCUUUUUGUAGAUACCUGAUAUUUUGUUGUAAUUACUAGGCUUCCGAAGUAAGCCUCCUUUUUUUCUCUCUCUUCAAGAGCUGUAUAUGGCAAGAAGGCAAGGAAAGACCCAGAGAGAACAAAUGAGAUUACUGGUAUUUAUGCAAGGCAGUGUGUUGAGCUGGCCAAAGAAAUGCAUAUUCCAUUCAUUGAUAUCUGGUCAAAAAUGCAAGAAACUAAAAGGAUGGCAGAAACUUUUCUUGAGAUUUAUAAGAGAUGGUGACGAGAAAUAUUUUGGCAGGUCAUUGGCGAUGUAUUGAAUCAAGUUUAAAAAUUUAGACAUAUUUUCAAAACUUUACAUUUGAUAGCACGUGGAAAUGAUAAAAACUCUAUUAUUGUGUUUUGUUUUUUGGUUGUGUUGGGUGAUUGUAUUAGGUGACAAUGCAAUGAUACUCUAACAUGGUUCUUGUUUUCUGGUUGUGUUGGGUGUUGUCCCAAACUUGUAGAUGAUUAGUUCUUUUCAACUUCUUUCCGUAAAUUUUCUUGUGUGAGCAUAUAAUCUCUGUUGUGAGAGACAUAAUUCGAUGCAAAAUGUUGGAUUUCUGUUUGUUGA